rnacentral:rRNA from 1 species
AUUGAACGCUGGCGGCAGGCCUAACACAUGCAAGUCGAACGGUAACAGGAAACAGCUUGCUGUUUCGCUGACGAGUGGCGGACGGGUGAGUAAUGUCUGGGAAACUGCCUGAUGGAGGGGGAUAACUACUGGAAACGGUAGCUAAUACCGCAUAACGUCGCAAGACCAAAGAGGGGGACCUUCGGGCCUCUUGCCAUCGGAUGUGCCCAGAUGGGAUUAGCUAGUAGGUGGGGUAACGGCUCACCUAGGCGACGAUCCCUAGCUGGUCUGAGAGGAUGACCAGCCACACUGGAACUGAGACACGGUCCAGACUCCUACGGGAGGCAGCAGUGGGGAAUAUUGCACAAUGGGCGCAAGCCUGAUGCAGCCAUGCCGCGUGUAUGAAGAAGGCCUUCGGGUUGUAAAGUACUUUCAGCGGGGAUGAAGGGAGUAAAGUUAAUACCUUUGCUCAUUGACGUUACCCGCAGAAGAAGCACCGGCUAACUACGUG